rnacentral:rRNA from 1 species
GAUGAACGCUAGCUACAGGCUUAACACAUGCAAGUCGAGGGACCGGCGCACGGGUGAGUAACACGUAUCCAACCUGCCCUUUACUCGGGGAUAGCCUUUCGAAAGAAAGAUUAAUACCCGAUAUAAAGGAUGGGGAUGCGGUCCAUUAGGUUGUUGGGGAGGUAACGGCUCACCAAGCCUUCGAUGGGUAGGGGUUAUGAGGGGAAGGUCCCCCACUUUGGAAUAGUGGCGCGGUCCAAACUCCGACUGGCGGCAGCAGUAGGGAGUAUUGGUCAGUGGCCGCUAGCCUGAACCGGCCAAGUAGCGUGAAGGAUGAUGACUUAUAAAUCGUAUACUUCUUGUAUAUAAGAAUAUGUAUUAUAUGAAUAAGGAUCGGCUAACUCCGUGCCAGCAGCCGCGGUAAUAC